rnacentral:rRNA from 1 species
CCUACGGGGGGCAGCAGUAGGGAAUAUUGCACAAUGGGGGAAACCCUGAUGCAGCAACGCCGCGUGAGGGAUGAAGGUUUUAGGUUUGUAAACCUCUUUCGGCAGAGAAGAAAAUGACGGUAUCUAUCGAAUAAGCACCGGCUAACUCCGUGCCAGCAGCCGCGGUAUUACGCAGGGUGCAAGCGUUACUCGGAUUUACUGGGCGUAACGGGUGCGCAGGCGGGCUUGUAAGUCUGAUGUGAAAGCCCGGAGCUUAACUACAGAACUGCAUUGGAAACUGUUAGGCUAGAGUGUGGGAGCGGUAGGUGGAAUUCUUGGUGUAGGGGUGAAAUCCGUAGAUAUCAAGAGGAAGACCGGUGGCGAAGGCGACCUACUGGAACAAUACUGACGCUCAGGCACGAAAGCGUGGGGAGCAAACAGGAUUAGAUACCCGAGUAGUC